AAAGACAAGAGGUUCCUGGCGGCUAAAGGCAGUGUUCCAAUUGGCAUUGGCAAGAAUUCUCAUAUCAAAAGGGCAAUCAUUGACAAGAAUGCGCGAAUUGGGGAAAAUGUCAAGAUCAUAAACGGUGACAAUGUGCAAGAAGCUGCAAGGGAAACAGAUGGGUACUUCAUAAAAAGUGGGAUUGUGACAAUAAUCAAGGAUGCAUUGAUUCCAAGUGGAACUGUCAUCUAAGAUGAAUGUGAAAGGCAUAGCUUAGCAAUGUUUCUUGUUUUUGCAUGGUAUCUACUUGUGUUUUUGUUUUUGCCAAAGGGGCCUUUGUAAGUAGUAAGUAGUAAGAAAUGGCGGGAAAGAGAGGACCCUCUUUUGGAGUAGUCAUCAACGCUGUAAAGUUCGUUAUUCCACUCAAAUAAAAGUUUCUUUAUUCCAACAUGAAUAAAGAACUAGUAUCAGUA